GCUCAGUAUAAGAGGAUUGAUGUUUUGUUAAGGUAGAAGGAAGACGCAGGUAAAGAGAACCAACAACUAUCUAGGCAAUUAGAUGAGAUUAAACAAGAUUAUGGAGACACAUCUAGAGAGACUUAGAGAUGAAUUAAAGAAGGAGAAGGAAGAAAGUCGCUUUGAGAGAGGGAGACGACUAAAGAGUGAAAAGGCCAUAAAGGACUCUUACAACAAUGUUGAGCAAGCCCAAUUGUCUUUUUGUGCCCCAUACCAUUUCGGUGAUUUGUUUGGUUUAAUAUCUUGUAAAGCAAUGUCUUAUUAUGAUAUGUACUAGAAGACUCAAAGAUUAUAUUUUGAAAUAUUAUUGUACCAUUAGGUUUUAUUCAUACA